GACGAACGCUGGCGGCGUGCCUAAUACAUGCAAGUAGAACGCACAGUUUAUACCGUAGCUUGCUACACCAUAGACUGUGAGUUGCGAACGGGUGAGUAACGCGUAGGUAACCUGCCUGGUAGCGGGGGAUAACUAUUGGAAACGAUAGCUAAUACCGCAUAAUAUUAAUUAUUGCAUGAUAAUUAAUUGAAAGGUGCAAUUGCACCACUACCAGAUGGACCUGCGUUGUAUUAGCUAGUAGGUGAGGUAACGGCUCACCUAGGCGACGAUACAUAGCCGACCUGAGAGGGUGAUCCGCCACACUGGGACUGAGACACGGCCCAGACUCCUACGGGAGGCAGCAGUAGGGAAUCUUCGGCAAUGGACGAAAGUCUGACCGAGCAACGCCGCGUGAGUGAAGAAGGUUUUCGGAUCGUAAAGCUCUGUUGUAAGAGAAGAACGGGUGUGAGAGUUGAAAGUUCACACUGUGACGGUAUCUUACCAGAAAGGGACGGCUAACUACGUG
rnacentral:rRNA from 1 species